GUCGCUGCUGAGAUCGGCAGCGUAGUCGGUGGAGUCUUGGCGGCCGGGCGAUUUGUGGCGGCGUUCGCGUUUGCUGUGCCCCCAACGACUCUGCAACACACCAGCAGAUGCGAGAUUCUAAACAGAGGAAAACUAUACGUUUACUCCUGAAAUUCAUUUUCUUCAUCAGCCUAGGUGGUGUCGGGGCUUCCCAUUUGAGAGCUGCUCUUCGAGGGGAUUGGGGCACAAUCCAAUUUACGUAGAACAAUACCCGUUAUUCGCUUGAUGAAUUUUUAAAAAUACGCAUUUAUCCAAUCUCGUGUUUUAUUUUUUAUGUUUUUGUUUACGUGGUAUUUUAACUUGACAGUAUAUAAUAACACCUUGCA